UGACAACUGGCUGCGUCCCCUCUGACUUCAAAAUGGCCAGAGUUGCUCCCCUACUCAAGAAAACAACACUCGACCCCUCUGACGUCAAACUACAGACCAACAUCAAGACUGAGACUGCUCUCUUUCAUGUGACGGAGGCUCUCCGCACUGCCAAAGCUGACUGUCUCUCCUCCGUUUUCACCCUCCUAGAUCUAUCUGCUGCCUUCGACACCGUGAACCAUCAAAUCCUCCUCUCCACUCUCUCAGGGCUGGGCAUCUCAGGCUCUGCACGCUCUUGGGUUGCAUCCUACCUGGCAGGCCACUCCUACCAGGUGGCGACAUGUAUCUUCGCAUGCCUGGCAGAUAUGGAUGUCGGCCCACCACCUCAAGC
rnacentral:lncRNA from 1 species